GGGCCGAUUAGGUUCUCCCGAACAAAAAAAACAUCAGACCAACUGCUCCCCACACCUCGCACGAUCUUCUCCUGAUCCACCCCUCGAACUUCCAGAUCCCGCCGCUGCCUCCUUCGCUUCCUCCACCAUCCCCUGCCCCUCCGGCGCGCCACCCAACGCCCCCCCCCCCUCCUCCAGCGUGAGGCCUCCCCCGGCCCCUCUGGCACGCCGCCGCACCCCUCCGGCGCGAGGCCUCCCCCGCCCACUCCGGCGUGCCGCCGCCCCCGCCUCUCCGGUGCGCUGCCACCCCCGCCUCUCCGGUAGCCAUCACCAUUCCUCCUGCCGGACCCCGGCGGUCGAGGUUCGCAUUUUCUACUGGAUCCCGUUGAGGGAGCACCACGCGCCGUUCCUAGGGGUGCGCACCACCCCCGAUGGAGCUCUGUCGCGACCCUCACAGCGACUCGUCGCCUCUCGCAUCCGCUUCAGGCGAAGCAGGUGCAGAAGUGCGUGGAGGCACUGGACGUGCUCAAGGUGUCGAACCCGCGGCUGCAGACGGUAGUGGUGACCACCAAAUGGGAGACGUUCGACAACAGCCCCCCGGUCACCACCAAGUGGGAGAUCUUCGACUGAAUUAAGCAGCAGCAGCAGAGAUUUUUCUUUAUACAGAAGAGUGUCUAUUUUCGUGCCGUCAGUUUUGGUGUCUUGUUCCUUGCCCAUUAUUCGUUUUUGUAAUCGCGCUGAGCUGGUUUAGGUUAGUAGGUCGCAGGAGGACCCCGAAUCCCACUGUUUGUAAUCAUCGUCGUCGUCGUCACACCCGCUCGAUUGAUGGAUCUCACUCCAAUAAACAGCAAAGCAGCACUGUUCUUUA